rnacentral:rRNA from 1 species
CCUACGGGAGGCAGCAGUGAGGAAUAUUGGUCAAUGGACGAGAGUCUGAACCAGCCAAGUAGCGUGAAGGAUGACUGCCCUAUGGGUUGUAAACUUCUUUUAUAUGGGAGUAAAAUGUUCCACGUGUGGGAUUUUGUAUGUACCAUAUGAAUAAGGAUCAGCUAACUCCGUGCCAGUAGCCGCGGUCAUACGGAGGAUCCGAGCGUUAUCCGGAUUUAUUGGGGUUAAAGGGAGCGUAGGUGGAUUGUUAAGUCAGUUGUUAAAGUUUACGGCUCAACCGUAAAAUUGCAGUUGAAACUGGCAGUCUUGAGUACAGGAGAGGUGGGCGGAAUUCGUGGUGUAGCGGUGAAAUGCGUAGAUAUCACGAAGAACUCCGAUUGCGAAGGCAGCUCACUGGACUGCAACUGACACUGAGGCUCGAAAGUGUGGGUAUCAAACAGGAUUAGAUACCCGAGUAGUC